UAGGGAAUAUUGGACAAUGGGUGAGAGCCUGAUCCAGCCAUGCCGCGUGCAGGAAGAAGGCGUUAUGCGUUGUAAACUGCUUUUGCCAGGGGAUAAAAUGACCGUGCGCGGUUAAUUGAAGGUACCUGGUGAAUAAGCCACGGCUAACUACGUGCCAGCAGCCGCGGUAAUACGUAGGUGGCAAGCGUUGUCCGGAUUUAUUGGGUUUAAAGGGUGCGUAGGUGGCCCUGUAAGUCAGUGGUGAAAUAUCUCAGCUUAACUGAGAGGGUACCAUUGAUACUGCAGGGCUUGAGUACAGAUGAGGUAGGCGGAAUUGACGGUGUAGCGGUGAAAUGCAUAGAUAUCGUCAAGAACACCGAUAGCGAAGGCAGCUUACCAAGCUGUAACUGACACUGAGGCACGAAAGUGUGGGGAUCAAACAGGAUUAGAUACCCCCGUAGUCCCUGAGCGGGCUGGCAAGGCGCAU
rnacentral:rRNA from 1 species